GACGAACGCUGGCGGCGUGCCUAACACAUGCAAGUCGAACGAGGUCCAUCCUUCGGGAGAAGACCUAGUGGCGAACGGGUGAGUAACACGUGAAGAACCUGCCCCGAAGACCGGGAUAACCCUCCGAAAGGAGAGCUAAUACCGGAUACCCCCACCGAACCGCAUGGUUUGGUGAGGAAAUGGAUUCCGCUUCGGGAGGGCUUCGCGGCCUAUCAGCUAGUUGGUGGGGUAACGCCCACCAAGGCAUCGACGGUAGCUGGUCUGAGAGGACGAUCAGCCACACUGGGACUGAGACACGGCCCAGACUCCUACGGGAGGCAGCAGUGGGGAAUCUUGCGCAAUGGGCGAAAGCCUGACGCAGCAACGCCGCGUGGGGGAUGAAGGCUCUCGGGUUGUAAACCCUUUCAGCAGGGACGAAUCAAGACGGUACCUGCAGAAGAAGCCCCGGCUAACUACGUG
rnacentral:rRNA from 1 species